GACGAACGCUGGCGGCGUGCCUAAUACAUGCAAGUCGAACGCAGUGGGGACGGGUGAGUAACACGUGGGUAACCUCCCAUCAGAGGGGAUAACACUUGGAAACAGGUGCUAAACCGAUACUGAUGGAUGGACCCGCGGUGCAUUAGCUAGUUGGUGAGGUAACGGCUCACCAAGGCCACGAUGCAUAGCCGGUGUGAGAGGAGGAUCGGCCACACUGGGACUGAGACACGGCCCAGACUCCUACGGGAGGCAGCAGUAGGGAAUCUUCGGCAAUGGAGGAAAGUCUGACCGAGCAACGCCGCGUGUAUGAAGAAGGUUUUCGGAUCGUAAAACACUUUUGUUAGAGAAGCGGUAUCUAACCAAAAAGCAACGGCUAACUACGUGCCAGCCGCCGCGGUAAUUC
rnacentral:rRNA from 1 species